rnacentral:rRNA from 1 species
CUCCUACGGGAGGCAGCAGUUGGGGAUAUUGCACAAUGGGGGAAACCCUGAUGCAGCGACGCCGCGUGAGGGAAGACGGUUUUCGGAUUGUAAACCUCUGUCUUCGGGGAAGAAAAAAAUGACGGUACCCGAGGAGGAAGCCACGGCUAACUACGUGCCAGCAGCCGCGGUAAUACGUAGGUGGCAAGCGUUGUCCGGAAUUAUUGGGUGUAAAGGGAGCGUAGGCGGGGAUGCAAGUUGAAUGUCAAAUCCAUCGGCUCAACCGAUGGCCGCGUUCAAAACUGUGUCUCUUGAGUGAAGUAGAGGCAGGCGGAAUUCCUAGUGUAGCGGUGAAAUGCGUAGAUAUUAGGAGGAACACCAGUGGCGAAGGCGGCCUGCUGGGCUUUUACUGACGCUGAGGCUCGAAAGUGUGGGGAGCAAACAGGAUUAGAUACCCUGGUAGUCCACACUGUAAACGAUGAUUACUAGGUGUGGGGGGACUGACCCCUUCCGUGCCGGAGUUAACACAAUAAGUAAUCCACCUGGGGAGUACGGCCGCAAGGUUGAAACUCAAAGGAAUUGACGGGGGCCCGCACAAGCAGUGGAGUAUGUGGUUUAAUUCGAAGCAACGCGAAGAACCUUACCAGGUCUUGACAUCGUGUGCAUAGCAUAGAGAUAUGCGAAGUCCUUCGGGACACACAGACAGGUGGUGCAUGGUUGUCGUCAGCUCGUGUCGUGAGAUGUUGGGUUAAGUCCCGCAACGAGCGCAACCCUUACAAUUAGUUGCUACGCAAGAGCACUCUAAUUGGACUGCCGUUGACAAAACGGAGGAAGGUGGGGAUGACGUCAAAUCAUCAUGCCCCUUAUGACCUGGGCUACACACGUACUACAAUGGCGAUUAACAACGGGAAGCGAAACCGCGAGGUGGAGCAAAUCCCCAAAAAUCGUCUCAGUUCAGAUUGCAGGCUGCAACUCGCCUGCAUGAAGUCGGAAUUGCUAGUAAUCGCGGAUCAUCAUGCCGCGGUGAAUACGUUCCCGGGCCUUGUACACACCGCCCGU